rnacentral:tRNA from 1 species
GCCGAGGUGGCGGAACAGGUAGACGCGCCGGAUUCAAAAUCCGGUUCUCGCAAGAGAGUGCGGGUUCGAGCCCCGCCCUCGGCACCA